UGUUUAGCUCAGUUGGUUAGAGCAUCUGACUGUUAAUCAGGGGGUCGUAGGUUCGAGUCCUACAAC
rnacentral:tRNA from 3 species